rnacentral:rRNA from 1 species
ACCAGAGUACUAUGAAUGCAUAAAAAUUUAAAACUCAAAGAACUUGGCGGNNGNNUUUAGACCACCCAGGGGAACCUGUCUCGUAAUCGAUAAUCCACGCUGUAUCUGACCUCUUUUUGUUUUCAGUUUGUAUACCGUUGUCGUCAGGUAACUUUUUAGAAACUAGAAGUUAGCAAUUAAAAUAUUGGUGGUUUAUUAUGUCAAAUCAAGGUGCAGCUAAUAAAGAGGGGAGGAUGGGUUACAAUUAUGUGAUUUAUAAUGACGGAUAGACAUAUGGAUAUGUGUUAAGUUAUAAGGAGGACUUGGAAGUAAAUUAGAAUAUGUAAAUAAUUUGAAUUAGGCUCUGAAACGUGU